UUUGACCCCGAUUUGGACCAACUUGAAAACUGGGCCAAUAAUAAAAAAUCUAAGUACAUUUUUAGAUUCAGCAUAUCAAAGAAUCCCAAGGAUUCAAUUUUUGUUAAAUCAAACUAAGUUUAAUCUUGGACCCUUUGGACCUUAAUGUAGACCAAUUUGAAAACCGGACCUAAAAUUAAAAAUCUACAUACACAGUUAGAUUCGGCAUAUCAAAGAACCCAAAAUUAUUCAAUUUUUUAUGAAAUCAAACAAAGUUUAAUUUUGGACCCUUUUGGCCCCUUAUUCCUAA
rnacentral:lncRNA from 1 species